CAAAAUACAACAAACCGUAGUUAAAAAAGUUUAUUUCGGAAAGUUUUAAACUUUCAAUUGAUUUUUUAUCAACGCCUUCAUCACUGUGAUGACAUUCUCGGGAAAUCGUUACGUUUUUUUUUGGCAUUUUUUUGCGUAUCAGACUGUAAAAUCACCACGUGAUCGCAUGAUUUUUGUCAAACAUUUGCUAUAUAACCUCUAGAGUCUUGUUAGUGAUACACUUCGUUUGAACGGAUUAUAAUUUCUGCUAAACAACACAGCUGUAUUGUCGUUCAGUCAUGGGAAAACAAGUUUGGAUGUUGGUAGCGAUUUGCGCUCUGCUAGUUGCAAGUGUGAGUGGUGGAGGCUCUUCUUAUUCUUAUUCUUAUUCUUCCUCAUCUGGAGGCGGCGGAGGGGUGCCGCGACUGAAUAAACGUGCAAUUGCCGAGUUGAAAGACACUAUGAUAAGGAAGAGCGAGAGGCAAGCUCCCCAGGCAGCAGCACAAGGAUAGGAAAAAGGGACGCGAGCUCCCCAGAAAGCAGCACUGAGUAACAUCACAUCAGAAUUCACCUACUUGUUAUUUUAUGUAUCAAUGAUUGGACCAAUUUAGUUUAUAUUCUUUUCAACGAUCUGGAAUGUUGACUUCGAAAAGUUCAUAUCCUUUUUAAAAAUGAUCCAAAAAGUUAGUAUACAAAUGUUUAUUUAUAUCAAUGCUUCAAAAAAGAUCUUAAAAUGUAUUAAUUUGCACAGUACUAUACUGAAAUAAAAUGAC